GGAGGGCGCGAGCGUUGUCCGGAAUUACUGGGCGUAAAGGGGGCGCAGGCGGCUAGGUAAGUCCUAUGUGAAAGCCCACGGCCUCAACCGUGGGAAAGCCAUAGGGAUACGUGCCAGGCUAGAGACGGGUAGAGGCGAGUGGAAUUCCCGGUGUAGCGGUAGGAAUGCGUAGAUAUCGGGAAGAACACCAGUGGCGAAGGCGACUCGCUGGGCCCGUUCUGACGCUCAGGCCCGAAAGCGUGGGGAGCAAACAGGAUUAGAUACCCUGGUAGUCCACGCCGUAAACGAUGGGCACUAGGUGCCCGGGAAGUUGGUGACCCCUUUUCGGUGCCGAAGCUAACGCGUUAAGUGCCCCCGCUGGGGAUACGGCCGCAAGGGCUG
rnacentral:rRNA from 1 species